rfam:Euryarchaeota archaeon RBG_16_68_12 RBG_16_scaffold_68508, whole genome shotgun sequence.
GGGCCGUUAGAUCAGCGGAAGAUCGCCGCCUUCGCAAGGCGGAAGCCGUGGGUUCAAAUCCCACACGGUCCA